rnacentral:lncRNA from 1 species
UAUGUUUCUGAUUUGUUGUUAUGUGUUCUUGAAUUUUUAUAAAUUCAUGUGUAACCCAUUUUAGGAAACUUCAUUCAUGAAAGUUGUUCCUCAUAGUGUGCUUGAUGUUAAGUGCUUUUCUUAGAGCUAAUUAUCCAUGUGCUCUACCCCAAUUGCUUUGAUCUUAUGUGUGAUGUUUGAUGAUUUCUAUUGUGAUUCU